AAUGAACGCUGGCGGCAGGCCUAACACAUGCAAGUCGAACGCACCUUUCGGGGUGAGUGGCGGACGGGUGAGUAACGCGUGGGAAUAUGCCCUUUGGUACGGAAUAGUCCUGGGAAACUGGGGGUAAUACCGUAUGUGCCCUUCGGGGGAAAGAUUUAUCGCCAAAGGAUUAGCCCGCGUUGGAUUAGGUAGUUGGUGGGGUAAUGGCCUACCAAGCCGACGAUCCAUAGCUGGUUUGAGAGGAUGAUCAGCCACACUGGGACUGAGACCACGGCCCAGACUCCUACGGGAGGCAGCAGUGGGGAAUCUUAGACAAUGGGGGAAACCCUGAUCUAGCCAUGCCGCGUGAUCGAUGAAGGCCUUAGGGUUGUAAAGAUCUUUCAGAUGGGAAGAUAAUGACGGUACCAUCAGAAGAAGCCCCGGNUAACUCCGUGCCAGCAGCCGCGGUAAUGUCUGUACU
rnacentral:rRNA from 1 species